GGCCUCAGAGGUUGUCUAAGAGAAUAUUGGGAGCAACAACACCAUGAAGUCCAAAGAACACAGCAGACAGGUGUGAUGGCUGCAUGCAACCACACAAUUGAGAUACUUAGGAUCCUGACUGUGUGCAAAAGCUGUGAGCAUGCUGGAUUCUCAGCUGGCAGAUUCUCUCAGGCUCAAUCAUUUUGCAGCAAGAUGAGCAGAGAAAAUAUCGAUCCAGGGCCACACGACUGUUUUCAGCCAAAAGAAGAAGACCUCCUCAGCAGAUGGUUUGACCCCCACUGAGCUCCUGUCUCAGCAUUGCAGUCAGAUGAACUGUAGCAAGUUCUCCCAGGUGCUUCAAUCACACUAAAUACCUUGAAUAAUUGUGUGAGAGAAAGUGCGCUGAAACUACAGAGGAUAAAAGCACGGGCUUGUUUAUGUUACUUUGCUGAUUCAUAAAAAUCCUUCAUGACAUCACUUUUGUGAGCAUCCUUCCUUCGCUUUUA